CUUGCGUGUUCAAGUCAACCAGCUGAGUGGAAAGACUAAGUUAGUUGUAGCGCUGGCCAUUUCUACCCAAUAAACGUAUCCUUGGCGGAGGAACAAAUUGCACACAGCACGCCGUGGGAUUGCCUUUCCAACAUUUGCCUGUACUUCUUCAGCAGGUGCAAAACAUAUACGCAAUCAGCCUGCCUGAUGACAUCACCACAGUGUGCCCCGCCCCAUAUUAUGAGCGCACAAACCAAUCAAGUCAGCCACCAUUCGUCUUAAAUUCGUGCCACUGUAAAAUUCGACAACUAAGAAAUGGUCAAGUUUAUUUGUCUCAUUUUCAGCAGCAGGAAAAAAUCAAAGCCGUGUUCAUUUUUCUUGAGUUAUUCAUCUGCAGCAAUCGAGCUUAAAAAUACACCAAAUUG